UAAGGGUGAAGGUUUUCCCUCUUUUCCUCAAGUUUUCGUAUGUGGAAAGGCAGAGGUGAGAAGGGGGAAGCCGGGUAUUCCUGACGCAAACCUGCCUGAGCAAUGCCAUGGGUGAUGCCAGCUUGCUUCCUCUUCUUCAGGGGGUUUUCCUUUGUCCACCAAAUCCCACACUGGUGGAAUAAGGUCCCUGGAGAUAACCCUAUGUCCCUCCCAUCUCUGUGCAAAGCUGCAGAGCCAGCAAGGGGCAAACACUGCUGACAGGAGUUGGUUGUCAUGAGAAAGGGGCUGUACAGGAGAAACCCCCAGGGCCCCUGGGUGUGAUGGGCAGGGGGGAUCAGCCACCAAGGCAGGCUACAGGGCAUAGGCCCUGGAGGAGCUCGGCCUUCUGCUGAGACCUUCUGCAAUCAUGGCAUUGUAGGGACCUAGUGUCUGGGGUCCCCCCCGCCUAGGGGCUGGCGGGGUGAUUCAUGGCCUUUUUUAUUUUGGUGUGUUUACUUUUUCCCUGGUGCAGGAUGAGUAAAGGAGAGCGUGUUUUCUUGCCUGCUUGGAAGGAGAAAAAUCAGGGAAUAGCAGUGGAGAUGCUCUAGCUGAUAGGUUUUGACUAAUACAUUUUAGAGGCUGGUGAAAGCUGAUGUUUAGCACCUCUAAAAACACAAUUGCUACUCUGAGGCUUGUCCUUUGGGUCCUUCAUAGCCACUGCUCUCCUAUAUUUUCCCCAAAGUGUGGAACCCUUCCUGCAUUAGGGAUUAAACAUCCCUGUGCAGGGGACCCAGAUGAGAUGUGCCCACUUGCUGCCAAAUCUGGGGAGAGCAUUCUUCCCUGCAGUCCUGUUCUGUGGGGAGAACGGCUGUGGCAAGAUCAGGGCUACGCAUGGGUGCUGGUUGCUUCUCAUGCAUGGAUCUCUGGGAUGAGGAAGCUGCCCUCGUCUUGGGAAAAAAAUAGGAGGUUGAAAAACCCCUUAACCAACAGACAACCAACCAAUCAACCAACCAACCAACCAACCAAAAAAUGCUGGAGGGGGAUUAUUUUCUGCAGUCACCUGUGGUGGUGGAAGAUAAGACAGGCUGGAAUGAUUUUUCUGAGCGGUGAAGGCCCUGUGUGGGCCCAAGAUGCUACUGGAUACUUUUGCUUGAUACAGCUGUCCCUGUAAGCUAAGAUUUAGAGAGGAAAACAUUUUUUUUUUCUUAUUCCCAUUUCCACAUGGAGGAGAGGAAGAAAGGGCCAGGAAAUGAUUCUCCCCCCACCUGCUGAUGAGGUAUUUGGGAAGAAACCUUUGAAUCAACAUUCUCAAAGUUUUUGAGUUCCUCUGUGGAAAACCCAUGUAGGAAUAGGAUACAAGCCAAAAGCUAAGGAAAGGAUUGUCUGGCUUCAAUUUAUCUAUCCCUGGGCAUUUCUAACAAGUAGAUCACUGUAAUAUUUAAUCUUGUGGGAGUCCUUGCAUGUUAAAAGUGAAUCUUCCCCAUAAGUUUUUAUCAAUUUUGUCAUUUAUAAAGUUGCUUAUGAUGGUCUAGAGCUGCUCAGCUCUUGUCCACAACAUCUGUCUGUCUGUCUGUCUGUGGGAGGAGAACAGCAUCUACAGGACUCAAAUCCUGCUUCUCAUGCUGAGCAGAGAGAAGUGAGAGAGAUGGGAGCGGUGGCCACAGGUCAGUGGUUGCAUUCUCCCAGGACAAAGACAUGAAAGACUACUAAUUUUAUCUUGUCGUGCCCUUGAAUGAAAUCCUAUACAUCCUUGUUCCUGAAUAAAACAUGCAUGAUAAAUGAAUUUAGAGAGCAUUGAAGGGCUACUGACGAUGCAUAGGAUUUUUGUAGCAUCCUAAACAGAAGGAUAUUGAAGGGAGCUGAUUCUGCUUUGAUCCUUGUGCUUGUUGUCAAAGCGCUUGGGAUUGAAGAGACUGUUGGCUACAAUUGACUGUGACAAUUAGGAGAUGAUCAGAGCCCUAGAGUGGAGCACUUAAAGGGUAAUUUACAUGUCAGUUUGUCGAAUAAAAAAAAAGAUAUUCAGCUAA